UGCUGGAAGGCUUCGUCCGGACUCCUACGGGAGCCGGACUUCGUCCCCGACCUCAACUAUUGGAAGGCUUCGCCCGGACUCCUACGGGAGCCGGGCUCCGUCCUCGAUCUUAACUGCUGGUAAACUUCGUCCGGACUCCUAAAGGAGCCGGACUUCGCCCCUGACUUUAAUUGCAGGUAGACUUCGCCCGGACUCCCACGGAAGCCAGAUCUCGUCUCCGACUCCGGCCACAGGAAGACUUCGUCCGGACUCCUACAGGAGCCGGACUUCGUCCCCGACCUCAACUGCUGGAAGGCUUCGUCCGGACUCCUACGGGAGCCGGACUUCGUCCCCGACUUCAACUGCUGGAAGGUUUCGCCCGGACUCCUACGGGGGCCAGGCUUCGUCCCCGACCUCAACUGCUGGAAGGCUUCGCCCGGACUCCUACG
rnacentral:lncRNA from 1 species